GCACUGGAGUUGCCAUUAUCCAGUUUGAGGUGUUCUCAAAGUUUUUUUUUUUUUUUAAUACAAUAUAUCACCCUCUUUUGGACACAAAUAACUUAUUGAUAUUUCUCCCUCCUUUUGAUAAUUAAGUUAAAAGAAAAUAAAAAGUUAAAUUAAAUAAUAAUUAGAAUAAAAAGUUAAAUUAAAAAUCAUUCACGUUGAACCAGUUAUGCUUAUUAAACCUGUUAUGCUUAUUAAACCUGUUAUGCUUCUUAAACCUACAUUUGCUCCAAUUAGUUUUACUCAACGCCCCAUUCGAUUGUCGUGUAACUUUCUCUUCGAUUUUAUUUUAUGAGUGCUUUUUUUUUUUUUACAUUUUGAGUUUUUCUUUUUCUUGAUCAUCGAUUAACUCAUUCAUUGACAUUUUCUAUAUAAUCAUCCCUUUAUUAAUCUUUCCUUCAAUUUCAUAAUUUCUUUCGAAUUUUAUUAUUUUCUUCGAUUUCUCAAUUUUUUUUUUCGAUUCCUUUUGUAAGGGCCUCAGAAAAAUAAAUAAGUCAUUGGGCCUAAUAAGGGCAGCGGGCCCACUCGAAUUGGUCACAUGGCCUUGAGAGGGGUCCCUUUCCCCAAUUCAGAUUUUCAUUUCCUCAUUUCCCUUCUCUCUCUAGAACUCAGAUUUCUUAUUUUCUCUGACUUUUCUCUAACCUUGCUCCACCUUCUCUGUACCAAUUUCUCAAAUUUCCACCGUUGUUAUUUCAAAUAGGUGGUCCCCCUACGUUCCCGGAGUCGAGAGCUUCCAAUCCAUCUGAUUAGUUUCGCGUCUCUCCACUGAUAAGGUAAUUUCCCAUUCUGCGCACCCUAGGGUUUUACUCAUGCAAAGGUUCUACCUUGCAAGUAGAGUUAUUUUUAUUUUCCUUAUCCUAUCAAGUCCUAAAGACUAUGCUCUACACCAAUUUGGUAGCUUGUAGGUACUAUCGGAAUUACCUCUGUGCGGAGGUACUGUUAGGACGCUUUUAGGAACUGUGCUGUGAGAACCAAAAGGUAAGGGGAGCUAAUUAUUUUGUGUGAAUUUAUUUUAUAAAAUAUAUGCAUAUUGGAUUUGAAACCGAUGUACUGUUUGAAUUGCAUUUCUCACUGUUUUAUAUACCUGUUGAGCAUGAAUUGGAUUGUGCAAAAUGAUGAACCUGUGAUUGAUUGUCUAUGGCGUGUUUUGAUGAACUUGAUUGUGGUAAUUUGGACUGUUAGGAGAGGUAUGCAUUGGUUAUAUUCUGGGUUCUGCGUUGAUGGAAGAAAUCUUUUAUUCGGUUAGGAUUGAAUAUAAAACAUUAUAAUGUAAUAUAUUUUGGAAAGUUUAGAGAUGAAGAAACUUAGGUUCGCUGGUUUUAGAAAAGUUGGAGAGGUGUUUAAGUUUUGGUCUGGGAAUGUAGAAAGGUUAGUGUUUCACGUAAAGGAAGAGAUAGUGUAGGUUUGUGGUUGUCUGGUGAUGUAGAGAAAAUGAAAGAAGAAGGGUUAUUGGGAAAGUAGAGAAGGUAAAUAAAAUGAAUGAUUAAAUGGGGGAGAAUUUAUAUCAAGGGUUUACGUGAUUGAGAUUUAGAAGAAAGAAAGCAGGGGCAUGUUUUGUACGUCUGUGUCGGUAGUGGGGAGAAUUUAGAAUAUGGUAAAGGUUAAGUAUUGAGUAGUGAUAAAAGAGAGAAAGUGGUUAGGAUGUGAAAUCUUGGGUUGCAGGAGAUAUAUAUGUUUUACUGUAUGGAGAAGUAAGAUUUAAGGGUAGUAAUUAAAGGCAGAGAAGAGAGUUAUUCAAUGGUGUUUUCGGGAAUUGGGAGAAUGGUUGGUUAGUACAGGUGGUAGGCCUCACGGCAAUUUUUUUUUAGCACUCGGAAGAAUGGUUAUUCUCGUCGGAGGGAAGGAAUGGAAAGGCACGGAUUUUUGCUUUGCAUGGAAAGGUUUUGCAAUCAGAAGUAAUAUUUUAGGUUAUGAAGAAGAAGAAAAUAUUGGGUUUAGGGGGUGUUAAGUAGUUGCUGGAUGUAAGUGUUGGGGUAAGCUUUUAUAAGGAGAAGAAAAUGUUACUGUUGAGUGGAGUUUGGUUCAGAGGUGGUGGGAUACUAAGUUAGGAAAAAAAAAAAAAGAGAUUAUAAUAAUAAAAUAAUUGAAAAAGAAGUGUUAUAUUUGUGGUUAAUGAACAGUAGAAACAAAAGAAAGAAUUUAAAAUGGUUUUAUGGAAGAGAUUUUAGUUUUAUGGAAUAUUAAUUAAAAUUAAUAAAUAAAUAAAUAAACAUGAUGCAAUGAAUGGUGGUUGGUGUACGUGAGAAAAUUAGCUUGAAGGAAAAAGCAUGAAAGUGGUGACUUAGGUGGGAUCCACCUUGAAACAUGAAUGGAAUAUUUAUGUUGGUUAAGUGUCUCUAGAGCAUAAAUUUACCAUUAGCAAUAGGUUAUAAUAUAUUAUAUUUUUAUAUAUUAUAUGAUGUAUAAUAUGUUAAAAUCGUUGUUUUAUUUGUAUGGGAUUGUUUAAAUAUUAGAAACGUUAGUUAUCUUAGUUGUAUUUAGUAUUAUAUUAUAUAUAUAAAUAUUAGAAUGGUUUUAUUUAAUAUUUAUAUUAUUAUAUAUUUAUUAUUAGAAUUAUUAAUUUUAGUGUGUGAUUAAACUUUUAGUUGUUAUAAAAUUAAAAUAUAUAAUAACAAAUAAGCUUGUUGUUUUGUUAGUAGGUACGAAUAAGUUAAAAAAAUGAUAUAAGCGAUUUUUAUAAUUUAACCUGAGGAAUUAUUAUGUAUGUGUUGAUUGUGGCAUAAAGUAUAUGGUUACAAAGUGAUGAAAGUACGAUCCAAGUGGUAAACUAAGUUCCAUCUGUGUAAAAGUAAAUUAAGUUCCAUUUGUGUAGAAUCUCUCGGAGAGAUUCUUAGUGUUUUAGAAUGAAAGUAGGAGCUCAGUCUUGGGGGUCUUCUUGACGCUCCAAUGGUCAAUCAAACUCACUUAGAGAGGUUGAACCAUGUGGUGAGGAGUAGCAGGAGGUCUUAGUCUUGGAGGCUUCCAUCAUGCUCCAAGGCGCGGAACAGACUAACCUCGUGAGUGGCAGGGCGGGGGAGCCCAAGGCGGGGGAGCCUAAGUAUCACAAGCCACCACGGGUGCAUGACCCGCCAUAGCUCGACUAUCAUUCUAAAGUCCGGACGAGUCAAGUCUAGAAGAUAAUAUGUUAGGAUCUAUGUCAUGUAUUGUCUGGUUUGCAUACUUUUGACUUGAGAUUAAUUUUGAUAUGUAUAUGUGAAUAUAAUUGCAUGUCUUUAUAUAGUUAGCUCACCCUUGCAUUUGGUUGUGUUGUGCUAUGUCUGCGUGUUUUCUCUUGCGAUGAUCAUCCAUUUUGGAUGGGAGCAGAUGGCGAGGAUGUUACUCUGGAGACAGUCUUGGAGGAGAACAGCGAUGCAGCUGCUUAGUUCUGCUAGGAGAUUUCAUGACCCCCUUAUGUUAUCUACAAACAAUUCCUUCUUAUGUUAUUCUGAAAUACUUUAGUGCUUCAAGUUUUAAAUUCCUACUCAAUUUGGAUAACUGUAAUCCCUAUACUCAAGACUCUUAACUGCCUGUCUGCACUCCAACUGCUUUCUUUAUUAUAAUGGAUGACGUCUUAUUAUUAUAUGCAUGACGUAUAUUCUUGGGAUGUCACACCUUUGCUUUCCUCAAUUUUUCUCGAUUUCAAAUUUGAUUUUGGUUUAGUUAAGAAGGGGAAGAAGAAUAAAAAAAGAAGAAAGCAAGAGUGUUAUUCUGGAAGAGAAAGAGUUUUUCUUCACAUUUCUAUUAGCACCC
rnacentral:lncRNA from 1 species